CACGUAGGGUGCAAGCGUUGUCCGGAAUUAUUGGGCGUAAAGGGCUCGUAGGCGGUCCGUCACGUCGGGAGUGAAAACUCGGGGCUCAACCCCGAGCCUGCUUCCGAUACGGGCGGACUAGAGGUAGGUAGGGGAGAACGGAAUUCCUGGUGUAGCGGUGGAAUGCGCAGAUAUCAGGAGGAACACCGGUGGCGAAGGCGGGUCUCUGGGCCGAUACUGACGCUGAGGAGCGAAAGCGUGGGGAGCGAACAGG
rnacentral:rRNA from 1 species